GUGUUUUUUAUCAAGGGCGUACGGUGGAUGCCUUGGCAUGCUGAGCCGAUGAAGGACGUGUGAGGCUGCGUUAUGCCUCGGGGAGUUGCCAACUAAGCGUUGAUCCGAGGAUGUCCGAAUGGGGAAACCCAGCACCAGUUGUGUGGUGUUACCCGCAGGUGAAUUCAUAGCUUGUGUGGGGGUGUACGCGGGGAAGUGAAACAUCUCAGUACCCGCAGGAGAGGAAAAUAAUAAUGAUUCUGCUAGUAGCGGCGAGCGAACGUGGAUGAGGCUAAACCAUGUGCGUGUGAUACCUGGCAGGGGUUGCGUGUGUGGGGUUGUGGGAUGUGAUUGUUACCAGGGCUGUCGACUUGGUGCGUGUGUGUUGUGUGUUAGCGGAAGUCACUUGGGAUGGUGCGCCGUAGUGGGUGAGAGCCCCUGUACGUGAAAACAUGCAAUGUGUGCGUUGAUUGUGUCCCGAGUAGCAGCGGGCUCGUGGAAUCUGCUGUGAAUCUGCCGGGACCACCCGGUAAGCCUAAAUACUCAGUGUGACCGAUAGUGAAUAGUACCGUGAGGGAAUGGUGAAAAGUACCCCGGGAGGGGAGUGAAAUAGUUCCUGAAACCGUGCGCUUACAAUCCGUCAGAGCACCUCGUGUGUGUGAUGGCGUGCCUUUUGAAGAAUGAGCCUGCGAGUCAGCGGCAUGUCGCGAGGUUAACCCGUUGUGUGGGGUAGCCGUAGCGAAAGCGAAUCCUAAUAAGGGUGUUUUAGUGGCAUGUCCUGGACCCGAAGCGGGGUGAUCUACCCAUGGCCAGUGUGAAGCAGCUGUAAGAGGUUGUGGAGGCGCGAACCCACUUAGGUUGAAAACUGAGGGGAUGAGUUGUGGGUAGGGGUGAAAGGCCAAUCAAACUCCGUGAUAGCUGGUUCUCCCCGAAAUGCAUUUAGGUGCAGCGUUGUAGUAACUUGCCGGAGGUAGAGCUACUGGUUGGUUGAGCGGGACUAUCAUCUUAGCAAUGUCAGCCAAACUCCGAAUGCCGGUUUAAGUGUUCUAUGGCAGUGAGACUGUGGGGGAUAAGCUUCAUAGUCGAGAGGGAAACAGCCCAGAUCGCCGGUUAAGGCCCCUAAGGGUGUACUAAGUGGAAAAGGAUGUGGGAUCGCGAAGACAGCCAGGAGGUUGGCUUAGAAGCAGCCAUCCUUGAAAGAGUGCGUAAUAGCUCACUGGUCGAGUGGUUCUGCGCCGACAAUUCAGUGGGGCUCAAGUACACCGCCGAAGCCGCGGCACACUAUUUUUGUGUGGGUAGGGGAGCGUCGUGUAUGGGGUGAAGCAAUACUGUAAGGGGUUGUGGACUGUACACGAGUGAGAAUGCAGGCAUGAGUAACGAGUGAUAAGUGAGAAUCUUAUCCGCCGGAUGACUAAGGGUUCCUGGGUCAAGUUCGUCUUCCCAGGGUGAGUCGGGUCCUAAGGCGAGGCCGACAGGCGUAGUCGAUGGUUAACGGGUUGAUAUUCCCGUACCCGUGUAUAUGCGCCCAAGGGUGAAUCGGUGAUACUAACCACCCUGACCGCACCAUAUGAUGAUCCCUUCGGGGGUUGAUCGGUGGUGUGUGAUGCGUGGGGCCU
rnacentral:rRNA from 1 species